rnacentral:misc_RNA from 1 species
GAUGAAGAACGUAGCGAAAUGCGAUAAGUAGUGUGAAUUGCAGAAUUCAGUGAAUCAUCGAAUCUUUGAACGCACAUUGCGCCCUUUGGUAUUCCUUAGGGCAUGCCUGUUCGAGCGUCAUUUAAACCUUCAAGCUAAGCUUGGUGUUGGGUGACUGUCCGCUUCACGGCGGACUCGCCUCAAAAUUAUUGGCGGCCGGUACAUUGGCUUCGAGCGCAGCAGAAACGCGAACUCGGGCCCGUCGUAUUGGCUCCCAGAAGCUAUCUUCACAAUUUUGACCUCGGAUCAGGUAGGGAUACCCGCUGAACUUAAGCAUAUCAAUAAGCGGAAGA